rnacentral:lncRNA from 1 species
CAGCAGGAACUGGCCGACUGUCUGAAGAAGUUGUCCAUGUGUGAGGCUUCUCUGGAGGUCAACACACGGUACCGUAAUGAUCUGGAGGAAGAGAAGGCGCGCACACUCAAGGACAUGGACAGAUUGAAGGGAAAGCUGCAGGAGUCUGAGGAAGUGUACGUCCAGGCCGAGAGACGCAUUAGCCAGCUGAAGAGCUCUCUGGACGACAAGGAGCGAGAAGCCUGCAGUACCGCUCAGAAACUAGAGGAGGCGCUAGCUGCUUCCACAGGCAAAGAGCAAACCAUUAAACAGCUGGAGGAGGCGGUGCAGAGGUUAGAGAUCGAGAACGCCAGACUGGAGGCCACAGCCAAACAGCAGACCAACCGCAUCGAGGUGCUUCAGAAGGGCUUUCAGGAGGGCGCUGUGCAAUCAGGCUCAUCACCUGGAGAAGGGGUCAGGAAUCGUUUGGAAGAUAUUGUCACAAACCUGCAGAGCAGUAAGAUGACGCUAGAAGAACAACUCAACCGAGAGGUACAGAAGCAGAGUAUGCUAUCCCAUAAUGCCCAGGACUCACAAGCACUGUGGGAGGAGGAGCUAAAGAGCCGCUCACGACUGGGACUCCGCCUCUCUGAGCUGGAGAAAGAGAAAGGAGAACUGACCAAUCAGAUGGAGCUCGAGAAGAAAAAGGCCAAAAAACUAGCCGAGCAGAAGAAAUCUUUGGACACGCGUCUGGAGCAGGAGAUGAAGAGAAACACUGACCUUCAGAAAGAAAUGUACAGGUUGAAAACUCUGUUGAAGACCGCUAAGAAGCAGCUGCGUGAACAGGGCGGUGGACAGCUGGACUCUCCUCUGGGCAGCUUCAGAGGAGACAUGAGCCACCGGCUGGAGGCAGAGAGCGCCGUCAGCAGAAUGAAGACCCGGGUGGAUGAGCUGCAGUCUCAGUACGAGCGGGAGGCGUCGCGCUGCUCGCGGCUGGAGGAGGUGCUGGUCGCGGCUGGAGGAGGUGAACAGACAGCUGAAGGAGAAGCUGUCGUCUGUGAAGAGCCUGAGCCGAAGCUACGAGCAGCUGGAGCGCAGCAAGAGUCAGCUGGAGGAGGAGGUGGCCAGUCUGCGGCGGCAGCUGGAGGCCGGUGUGAUGGACCAGAGCCAGGCCGAGCAGUACCGCCGGGAGACGGAGGAAAGAGCCCGACAGGAGAUCCGACACAAACUAGAGGAGGUCAACCUCUUCCUGCAGACGCAGGCGGCGUCUCAGGAAGCUCUGGAGCAGAUGAAAGCUGCUAAUGAGGCCAGUCAGCGCACUCAGCAGGAGCAGCGCAUCAGGGAUCUGGAGGGAGAACUCAGCCGUUUACNNNNNNNNNNNNNNNNNNNNNNNNNNAGGACAGUCUCGUUCAGAGAGACUCCAGCCACA